ensembl:lncRNA
CGGGGAGCCGCGGCACGCCCGUCUGCGCCCUGCGCCCUCCCCCGGGGCGCUGGAUGGGGCGAGCGCAACUUCAGCCGCCGCGGCCGCUUUCAGCCCUCUCCUCCCCGCUCUCCCCCCGUCUGCGUCGCCUCCCCUUCUCGUGUGAGAAGCGCGAAGUUGCGUUGAGACGGUACCUCGGCUGGAGCGCGAGCCUAACGAGCCCAUUAAAUAUGAUCAACGUACCGUCUGCACGGAAUGAAACCUUUCCCAGUCCUGAUUGCUCCAAAGAGGAAUCACGUCCUACCUCCCACCUUCCCAACCUUCGUUCUCCCGGCGGACACACGCGUGUAAUUACUGGCGACUGUGCAAACGCAGCCCUCAGCAAAAGCAUGCCGAUCACCAGGUGAUCUGGAAAUAAAUGAUGGAUCGCUUUGCGGACGGGCGAGGGGAGAGGACGACUCGUUAGUGCUGAUGCUAAGCGAGGAGCACUCUGCCGCGGGGAAUAAGGGACAAGCCGAUCGAUACAGGAGCUGCUGUAUACUUCUUGCAAUUAUCAAUAGCUGAUUUCGUCUUUUGAGGCCUGAAUCUAUUAAUACAAACCAAUAAUAAUCUUCUGAGCAUAUCAGUAGCC